AAGUCGUAACAAGGUUUCCGUUGGUGAACCAGCGGAAGGAUCAUUACCAUAAUCCAUUAAAGAUUAUAUAUCAAUCAACUAUGUGAACCUUUAAAACUGUCUUUUGGAAUAUAUAUUAUUCCAAAUGUACAUGUUCUAUUAAUUGGAAACACAACUUCACGGUUGUGUGGAAGAUUAAGAAAAACCUCUGUACAUUUUAUAUAUAUUCCAAGUGUAUUUUCACAAGAAAUACACUAAAUAUUAAAACCAUUAAAACCAUAAGAUAAAACAUAUAUACAGAAUAUAAAGCAACAUGCAGAAAUGCAUAUUGCAAUAUAAAAUUAAUAUAUGACAACUUUUAACGGCGGAUCUCUUGGCUCGU
rnacentral:misc_RNA from 1 species